rnacentral:rRNA from 1 species
GUGCCAGCAGCCGCGGUAAUACGUAGGUUGCGAGCGUUAUCCGGAAUUAUUGGGCGUAAAGAGUUCGUAGGUGGUUUGUUAAGUUGGAUGUUAAAACUUUGAGCUUAACUCAAAGUCGGUGUCCAAAACUGGCAGGCUAGAGACAGGUAGAGGUAGAUAGAAUUCUGUAUGUAGGGGUAAUAUCCGUAGAUAUACAGAGGAAUACCAAAAGCGAAGGCAGUCUACUGGACCUGUUCUGACACUCAAGAACGAAAGCGUGGGGAGCAAACGGGAUUAGAUACCCGGGUAGUCC